CUCUCAAUUUUCUAUGGAGUAUUUUGUUUCUUGUAUUUCAGCCAAGUAGGAACAUUUCCUGUUUCAAAACUUCUAAAUAUUUGUUUUCUUCUUUUUAUUCUUAUUUUAAUUUAGAGGUUUAAGCGGUUUCAAUUGGAACAAAGAAAUUCAUAUGUUGAAACAGUAUAAAUAAAAUUAUUGCAGAAGUGAUUCAUUGUAAGUGAGAUGAAUGUCCAUACAAAGUACAAAUGAGAAAACACAGAAAUAGGAUCAUUGUGUGUAUUAGCAACAGUGCUUAUAGAUUCAUCAUGGCUCACAACAAAGGUAUUUAUAAGUGGAUCUCCCGCCUCUGUCACAUGCUGUCAUUGCUUUGAAUUGACUGCUGUUAAGUGUCUGUAAUCCCAAGCCCUAGGAUCUUGUCCUACAUGUUUACCCCACUUGGUAUGCCUGUGAGUAUUUAAAAUGAAAAUGAACUCUAAACUUUAUAUGUGUUAAUAACAAAGGAUUUUAAUCCCUUAAAACCCAUAUUUAUGAUUUUUUUACUAUAGUUUAUAAAAUAUAUGUUCAAUCUGAUAGCUUACAUUUGCCAGUUUUGCCAGUUAAGGUUGGUUACUGCCUACAAUUUUUUUACCUUGUUAGGAUGUCAUGGCAAUGAAAUUAAGGAAGAUGUUCAUGGAGGAAGAGAAGCAUAGAAUAACAGCAGCCACUGGGCACAUUUUUAAUAGAAAGUGUUGACAGCUUUUGUAGCUGUAACUUACUUGUCAUAUAGAAAACACAAUAAUAUUUUAUGGUAUAGAAGGGUGAUGACAGAUACAGAUACACUACAACUACUACUUGCGUGUUUAUGUUGAGAUGUUGAGAAGUCCAUUAAAACUAUCAUAUCCCAUCCCACCUCAAAGGUCAUUGUUCAAAUCAUAUAAUGGUUUGUGUUGAAAGGGACCUUAAAGAUCAGAUAGAUCCAAGUCUCCUGCCAUAGGCAGGGAUAUCUUCUGUAGAUCAGGCUAACCAAAGCCCUAUCCAGCAGGGUUAUGAACACUUCCAGGGAUGAGGCAUCCACAUUCAUCUCUGGGCAACCUGUUCCAAGGCCUCACCAUCCUCUUAAUAAAUAAUUUGUUCCCAUGGUCUAAUCUAAAUCUACCCUCUUUUAUUUUAAAGCCAUCAUUCCUUGUCUUUUUGCUCCCUGAUAAAGGGUAUCUCCCUGUCUUUCCUGUUGGCCUCCUUUAAGGACUGGAAGGCCAUCAAAAGGACUCCAACAGUCUUCUCUAAUCUAAACAAUCCCUACUCUUAGCCUGUUUUCAUAGAAAUGCUCCAGCCUUCUUCUGAGUCUUCUGGACUCAUUUUAACAGGGUUGUUUUUUGCACAGAGCCAGAGCUGAAUGCCAUAGUUCAGGCACAAACUCUACAAAAGGUCAGCAGAGGGGAAGAAUCAUCUCCAUUGACCUGCUGAUCGCUAUUCAUUUGAUGUAGCCCAGGAAGCAAUUGGCUUUCUUUGCUGCAGGCAUAUAUUGCCUACUCAUUUUGAAUUUUUCAUCCAACACCAGUAAGUCCUUCUCCACAGGGCUGUUCUCAAUCCAUUCAUCACCCAGCCUUUAUACAUGCUUGGGAUUGCCCUGACUUGUUGAACUUUAUGAGGUUAGCACAGGCUCAGUUCUCAAACCUCUAAAGGUCCUCCUAGAUGGCCUCACUUCCCUCCAGUGUGAGUCACACCAGAUCUUUGCAAACUUGCUGAGAGUGCACUCCAUCCUACUGUCCAUGUCACUGACAGAGAUAUUAAAUAAUACUGAUCCUAAUACCAACACUUAAAGGGCCAAACAGAUCUGUAGCUGGUCUCCACAAAGAUAAUCAAGCUGCUGACUCUAACUCUUUGAGUGGGACCCUAUCCACCAAGCAGACUACCUGUUAAAUCCACAUCUCUACAGUUUGGAGACAAGGAUAUUAUGUAGGACAGUGUCAAAUGCUUUACACAAGUCCUGGUAGAUUACAUCAGUUUGUUUUCCCUUAUCCACUAGUGCUGUAACCCUGUCACAUAAGGCCACCAAAUUUGUCAGACAUUAUUUGCCUUUAGUGAAGCCAUGGUGGCACACUCUCCAUUCUUCAGAUGCCAUAGCAUAGUUUCCAGGAUCUGCCUGUAUUUCCUGCCUAAUUAACUGUUCAGCCCAAAAAAUAUUUUUUCUUGCCCAAUGAAUUUACUGUGCUUUUUGACUACUUACUAUUUUAGGAAGAUGUGACAAUGGGUAGUACUAAACUAUUGCAUGUGUUAAGGAAAGCACAAAUAACAUAGUGAUGCUUGAAAACGAGUAUGUUAAAACUUUAUCAAAUGCUAGUAUCUAACUGUAGUAGUAAAAGUGUAAGCAGUAAACACAGGUAGUGCAGCCAAAUUCAAAUAAAUUAUUUUGCAUCAGAAUUGGAAAGAUUUGGUUCAGUUAUACAAAUCCUCAUUCACUUUAUAGAUAUAUGUUGUUAUAUUCAACACCUUUUUCCCCCAAAACAAUCAAAACACCAAAAUGUUUUCUUCUGCUUUUCCACAACUUUUUAUACAGAAGAUUUCUUCUACUAAAAUAUAAUUUUGAUGGUUUUAGGAAAUAUUUAUACCUCAAAUGCUUGUAUAUAUGUCUUGUAUGAAUGGAAAGAUUAUCAUAAUUAUCUUUUGGACUGCAUGGGUGUAUUAUUCAUUAUUACAUCAUUAUACUGUGGAGGAACUGGGUUGUAAUAUACAUGUCCAAAGAUUAUGCAUCAGUUAAAAAUCAUUAAAAUAAAUUUAUCUCUUUAUUACAUUUGUAACAUUAAUGAAAAAAAAAAAAUUGUCAGCUUUCCAGGAACAUUUUUUUAAUUUAGAACCUCUAAGAUUUCAUAGGAAAAUAUAUCAUGUAAUCAAACAGAAAUGCUUGGAAUUAUAGAUUCUGCAACACCAUAUUAUAUUCUGUGGAAGUCACUUAUGGAAAAAAAAAAACAAACCUAUUCUCAUAGUAUUCAGCUUCAUCUUAAUAAAACACAUGAUGACAGCAGGCACUAGUUGAAUUUAAGUUUGAAUUACAUUUUAUUGUGAUUGUGUUUUCGGCAUUCAGUUUAAUGAAAUAAUAUUCUUUGUGAAUCCUGACAUUUGAAAACAAAGCUGAAGAUUGUAAUUAAUUUAUUAAAUUAAACAGUUCUCCUUUGUAUAGUGUAUUACACUGUUUUCCUUAAAAGAUCUUAAAUUACUGGAAUUUCAUUUUAAUUUGAAAGCCUUUAUAAUAAAAGAAAAAUGAUUAUCUAUUACAAAACAAAUAUAUAUACAUCUAUGUACAUACAUGCAUUUUUGUAUAUAUGUGAACAGAAAUAAGGCAGAUUCUCAUUAAUGAUGUACGUUCAUCUCAUUAAUGAUUUGUGUUUUAUAUGUAUAUUUAUGUGCUUUUAUAUGUAUAUUUAUGCAUGUAUUCAUAUACAAAAUCUUGCAGCAAUGUUGAGCCCUCUAGUGGUAAGAAAAUUCUCAGUUAGGAAGGCUUUCUCAAAUUUUAUCUCUCUUAAAUGGCAGGUGUCCAAACUCAACAACGCUAUUAUACCAUCAUAGAUGUUCAGAAUGACUUCCCAUAGUCAAGACGGGUCUGUAUUUAUUUGAAAAUACAGUUCUUCUAAAAGAAGAGUACUUAUGAUACACUAAUGAUAGUUUGUAAUAUCUGUUUCAGAAAAACCACAACAACACGUGAAUACUGUCAAACUAAUUCUGUCAAAGCCACCAUCUGAUUUGCUACAACUGAAGACUUUGCCUGAGACAUGAGUACUCAUCUGAAGUAGCUGGCAUAUUGCAGAACAUGAAGAUUACAUGUAGCUGCAGAAGAUUAAUUAACUGGAAAGAAAACAUUACAAAUGCUAUUAAAAAAGAAAGAUCAAGAAAACGCACAUUUCCAGAAAGAUUUUUA